AAUCCUAAAGAAGUAUAAAAGAAUAUUAAAGAAAACUUAGUCAAAUCCUAACAAAAAUCUAAUAGAACCUUAAAUUCUAUUCAAAUCCUAAUCCUAAUCCAACCUUAAUCAAAUCCUAGACAAAUCCUAAAUCCUAAACCAAAUCCUAAUCAAACCUUAAUCCCUAAUCAAAUCCUAAACCCUAAACCAAAUCCUAAUUCAAAUCCUAAAUCCUAAACCAAAUCCUAUCCAAAUCCUAAAUCUUAAACUAUAUCAUAAUCCAAAUCCUAAAUCCUAAAUUAAAUCCUUAAUCCUAUACCAAAUCCUAAAUCCUAAAUCAAACCCUAAUGUAAAUCCUAAACCCCAAACCAAAUCCUAACCAAACCCUAGACCAAACCCUAAUAAUUCCUAUAACAGAUUUAAACCUCAAUAACUAAUGAAUUAUCCGUCGAUCUUAAUUAAAAUUUUGUGCACUUUUAAAAAAAUAAGUUAAAAACAAGCACAAAAAAUUUGAUAAGGAUCGGAGUUACCAAAUUGACGAUAUCCUCAAAAAUAUGCUCGAAUAUUGGCUGUUUUCUUUCUCCAAUCUUAAUACCAAUCUUCCAGAGCCAAUAUCUCUCCUUUGCACCUUUCGAUUGAUUUCAGAAUUCUUAUAAACAUAGAAAAAUAAGUCUAGUAUCCUCUCACAUAAGUUUCAUUCCAAUCCAACAAAUAGAUUGCAAGAAAUCUCAAAACCCCCACUCGACCUAAAAUUCUACUUUUUGAGACCUUGAUCCACUUAAACCUUAAUAUUCCUCAAUUCAACCAUUAGAUCAAUUUCAAAUUCACAACACAUAUUAAACACAAUUAUAACCAUAAAUCCAUAAAAUUUCACCUGUAGAUCUAUUACAAAACUCUUGAAAUCAUCCAAAACAUAAACCCUAUUUUAUUUUCAUAAAAUUCUAGUCAUCCAAAACAAACCUUGACU
rnacentral:lncRNA from 1 species